UACGUAGGGGGCUAGCGUUGUCCGGAAUCAUUGGGCGUAAAGAGCGUGUAGGCUGCUCGGUAAGUCCGCUGUAAAAGUCAAAGGCUCAACCUUUGAAUGUCAGUGGAUACUGCCAGGCUAGAGUCCGGAAGAGGCGAGUGGAAUUCCUGGUGUAGCGGUGAAAUGCGCAGAUAUCAGGAGGAACACCGGUGGCGAAGGCGGGUCUCUGGGCCGUAACUGACGCUGAGGAGCGAAAGCGUGGGGAGCGAACAGG
rnacentral:rRNA from 1 species